rnacentral:rRNA from 1 species
GCAGGCCUAACACAUGCAAGUCGAACGGUAACAGGAAGCAGCUUGCUGCUUCGCUGACGAGUGGCGGACGGGUGAGUAAUGUCUGGGAAACUGCCUGAUGGAGGGGGAUAACUACUGGAAACGGUGGCUAAUACCGCAUAACGUCGCAAGACCAAAGAGGGGGACCUUCGGGCCUCUUGCCAUCAGAUGUGCCCAGAUGGGAUUAGCUUGUUGGUGAGGUAACGGCUCACCAAGGCGACGAUCCCUAGCUGGUCUGAGAGGAUGACCAGCCACACUGGAACUGAGACACGGUCCAGACUCCUACGGGAGGCAGCAGUGGGGAAUAUUGCACAAUGGGCGCAAGCCUGAUGCAGCCAUGCCGCGUGUAUGAAGAAGGCCUUCGGGUUGUAAAGUACUUUCAGCGGGGAGGAAGGUGUUGUGGUUAAUAACCGCAGCAAUUGACGUUACCCGCAGAAGAAGCACCGGCUAACUCCGUGCCAGCAGCCGCGGUAAUACGGAGGGUGCAAGCGUUAAUCGGAAUUACUGGGCGUAAAGCGCACGCAGGCGGUCUGUCAAGUCGGAUGUGAAAUCCCCGGGCUCAACCUGGGAACUGCAUUCGAAACUGGCAGGCUUGAGUCUUGUAGAGGGGGGUAGAAUUCCAGGUGUAGCGGUGAAAUGCGUAGAGAUCUGGAGGAAUACCGGUGGCGAAGGCGGCCCCCUGGACAAAGACUGACGCUCAGGUGCGAAAGCGUGGGGAGCAAACAGGAUUAGAUACCCUGGUAGUCCACGCCGUAAACGAUGUCUACUUGGAGGUUGUGCCCUUGAGGCGUGGCUUCCGGAGCUAACGCGUUAAGUAGACCGCCUGGGGAGUACGGCCGCAAGGUUAAAACUCAAAUGAAUUGACGGGGGCCCGCACAAGCGGUGGAGCAUGUGGUUUAAUUCGAUGCAACGCGAAGAACCUUACCUGGUCUUGACAUCCACAGAACUUUCCAGAGAUGGAUUGGUGCCUUCGGGAACUGUGAGACAGGUGCUGCAUGGCUGUCGUCAGCUCGUGUUGUGAAAUGUUGGGUUAAGUCCCGCAACGAGCGCAACCCUUAUCCUUUGUUGCCAGCGAUUAGG